rnacentral:rRNA from 1 species
AUUGAACGCUGGCGGCAGGCCUAACACAUGCAAGUCGAGCGGAUGCAGGGAGCUUGCUCCUGGAUUCAGCGGCGGACGGGUGAGUAAUGCCUAGGAAUCUGCCUGGUAGUGGGGGAUAACGUCCGGAAACGGGCGCUAAUACCGCAUACGUCCUGAGGGAGAAAGUGGGGGAUCUUCGGACCUCACGCUAUCAGAUGAGCCUAGGUCGGAUUAGCUAGUUGGUGGGGUAAAGGCCUACCAAGGCGACGAUCCGUAACUGGUCUGAGAGGAUGAUCAGUCACACUGGAACUGAGACACGGUCCAGACUCCUACGGGAGGCAGCAGUGGGGAAUAUUGGACAAUGGGCGAAAGCCUGAUCCAGCCAUGCCGCGUGUGUGAAGAAGGUCUUCGGAUUGUAAAGCACUUUAAGUUGGGAGGAAGGGCAGUAAGUUAAUACCUUGCUGUUUUGACGUUACCGACAGAAUAAGCACCGGCUAACUUCGUG